CUAACGGCGUGCCUCGGCA
rnacentral:siRNA from 1 species